rnacentral:tRNA from 2 species
AAUCCCCGAAAAAGUAGC